GAAAAAUGAAGAUAUUCUCACUGCUUCCUAUUACUACAGUGAAGACCUCAGAUCCAACUCUGAUUUCACUCUAGUU
ensembl:snoRNA